UGCGGCAUCACCUCCUUUCUAAGGAAGCUGUGGAACAGGAAGACGGCAUCUUCGGAUGCAUGACCUUUCCCGUGCUUUUUAGAACAUAGAUGGCACCAGUCAGGUGACCAUCGAAACGCAAUACGCCGCGUCGACUUCGGUCACGACGGUAUGGCGAGCUUUCGCCGUCCACGUUUCUCUUUCUUCAAGAAGACAAAAAACCGCGUCGACCGGUUCCCCGAAUGGGCCCGUAGCUCAGUUGGUUAGAGCACACGCUUGAUAAGCGUGGGGUCGGUAGUUCAAGUCUACCCGGGCCCACCAUUUGCAUUUGCGAAUGCGGGUUGAGGGAUGACGGAUUUGCCGUUGGGUUUCCUGACGCGGAACGUUGCCGAACCUGGGCUUGCCCGGGCGAUCGAGCUGAUGGGGCUGUAGCUCAGCUGGGAGAGCACCUGCUUUGCAAGCAGGGGGUCAGCGGUUCGAUCCCGCUCAGCUCCACCAAAUCGAUUGGUGUCGAGACUGACGGCAACGAAGCGUAGCGCAAGGCGCGUCGCCAAUCGUUUGGCGCCCUAGCGGAGCGCCUUCGGCGCGUGAGCGACAAGAAUUGUCUUCUGAAGAAAAACAAAGUUUGCAUCGUUUAUGACGAUGCCUGUUCUGCAUAUAUCGUGAAGAGAAGAUUGAUCUGGAGGCUUCCAGGUGUUUUGGGUUUAGGCCCAGGGCGUCCGAAGCCGGUUCCGAUGAUGUCGUUGAUGGUCUAGCCGACCGGAAACGAAAGAGGAGCCGGAUGUAGGAAGGAAGCUUGUCCCGGGGUAUUGUUGUUGUUUGAAGGCUUUGGCUUUCAUCUGACCGACGGUGCUGGAUUGGCGUUGCCUGACCGCGCGCCGCCGGAUUUGAUCUCGAGAAGCUGGUCUUAAGACAGACUGCGAAGCGAGCUGCUCGGCGUAGCUCCAAUAAAGCAGAUCUGUCGAACACGUCGAUGGCAUCAUGAAUUGUCCGGGUUGUAAAAGGUAACCUGGUCUCUGGCUGGCAACGGCAAUCGCAAGGUUGUCCGGAUCCCGAUCCAGUAAAUGAUGAGCAUUGGCAAUGGGAACGAUUAAGUGUCGUAAGGGCAUUUGGUGGAUGCCUUGGCAUGCACAGGCGAUGAAGGACGUGAUACGCUGCGAUAAGCCGUGGGGAGCUGCGAAUGAGCUUUGAUCCAUGGAUCUCCGAAUGGGGAAACCCGG
rnacentral:misc_RNA from 1 species